rnacentral:rRNA from 1 species
GUGGGGAAUAUUGCACAAUGGGGGAAACCCUGAUGCAGCCAUGCCGCGUGUGUGAAGAAGGCCUUCGGGUUGUAAAGCACUUUCAGCGAGGAGGAAAGGAUGCUGGCUAAUAUCCAGCAUCUGUGACGUUACUCGCAGAAGAAGCACCGGCUAACUCCGUGCCAGCAGCCGCGGUAAUACGGAGGGUGCAAGCGUUAAUCGGAAUUACUGGGCGUAAAGCGCACGCAGGCGGUUGGAUAAGUUAGACGUGAAAGCCCCGGGCUCAACCUGGGAACUGCAUUUGAAACUGGUCGACUAGAGUCUUGUAGAGGGGGGUAGAAUUCCAGGUGUAGCGGUGAAAUGCGUAGAGAUCUGGAGGAAUACCGGUGGCGAAGGCGGCCCCCUGGACAAAGACUGACGCUCAGGUGCGAAAGCGUGGGGAGCAAACAGGAUUAGAAACCCCAGUAGUCC